GACGAACGCUGGCGGCGCGCUUAACACAUGCAAGUCGAGCGAAGCGGCGGACGGGGGAGUAACACGUGAGUAACCUGCCUUAGACAUUGGGAUAGCCUCGGGAAACCGGGAUUAAUACCAAAUGGUCUAAGAUGGACUCGCGUCGCAUUAUCUAGUUGGUGAGGUAACGGCCCACCAAGGAGACGAUGGGUAGCCGGCCUGAGAGGCGUGACGGCCACUUUGGAGCUGAGAAGCAGUCCAAACUCUACGGGAGGCAGCAGUGGGGAAUAUUGCACAAUGGAGGGAACUCUGAUGCAGCGACGCCGCGUGAACGAAGAAGGCUUUCGAGUCGUAAAGUUCUUUUAUAUGGGAAGCGGUACCAUAAGAAAAAGCCCCGGCUAACUACGUGCCAGCCGCCGCGGUAAUAC
rnacentral:rRNA from 1 species